GAUGAACGCUAGCUACAGGCUUAACACAUGCAAGUCGAGGGGCAGCAUCAUUAAAGCUUGCUUUGAUGGAUGGCGACCGGCGCACGGGUGAGUAACACGUAUCCAACCUGCCGACAACACUGGGAUAGCCUUUCGAAAGAAAGAUUAAUACCGGAUGGCAUAGUCUUCCCGCAUGGGAUGACUAUUAAAGAAUUUCGGUUGUCGAUGGGGAUGCGUUCCAUUAGGCAGUUGGCGGGGUAACGGCCCACCAAACCAACGAUGGAUAGGGGUUCUGAGAGGAAGGUCCCCCACAUUGGAACUGAGACACGGUCCAAACUCCUACGGGAGGCAGCAGUGAGGAAUAUUGGUCAAUGGACGAGAGUCUGAACCAGCCAAGUAGCGUGAAGGAUGACUGCCCUAUGGGUUGUAAACUUCUUUUAUACGGGAAUAAAGUGAGCCACGUGUGGCUUUUUGUAUGUACCGUAUGAAUAAGGAUCGGCUAACUCCGUGCCAGCAGCCGCGGUAAUACGGAGGAUCCGAGCGUUAUCCGGAUUUAUUGGGUUUAAAGGGAGCGUAGGCGGGUUGUUAAGUCAGUUGUGAAAGUUUGCGGCUCAACCGUAAAAUUGCAGUUGAUACUGGCGACCUUGAGUGCAACAGAGGUAGGCGGAAUUCGUGGUGUAGCGGUGAAAUGCUUAGAUAUCACGAAGAACUCCGAUUGCGAAGGCAGCUUACUGGAGUUGUAACUGACGCUGAUGCUCGAAAGUGUG
rnacentral:rRNA from 1 species